rnacentral:rRNA from 1 species
CCUACGGGAGGCAGCAGUGAGGAAUAUUGGACAAUGGGCGCAAGCCUGAUCCAGCCAUGCCGCGUGCAGGAUGACGGUCCUAUGGAUUGUAAACUGCUUUUAUACGAGAAGAAACACCCCUACGUGUAGGGACUUGACGGUAUCGUAAGAAUAAGGAUCGGCUAACUCCGUGCCAGCAGCCGCGGUAAUACGGAGGAUCCAAGCGUUAUCCGGAAUCAUUGGGUUUAAAGGGUCCGUAGGCGGUUUAGUAAGUCAGUGGUGAAAUCUUCCCGCUCAACGGGGAAACGGCCAUUGAUACUGCUAGACUUGAAUUAUUAGGAAGUAACUAGAAUAUGUAGUGUAGCGGUGAAAUGCUUAGAGAUUACAUGGAAUACCAAUUGCGAAGGCAGGUUACUACUAAUGGAUUGACGCUGAUGGACGAAAGCGUGGGUAGCGAACAGGAUUAGAUACCCUGGUAGUCCACGCCGUAAACGAUGGAUACUAGCUGUUGGGUGCAAACUCAGUGGCUAAGCGAAAGUGAUAAGUAUCCCCACCUCGGAGUACGUUCGCGAGAAGUAGAACGUACAAUAGAAGUUAGUACGGCGUGAGACGUGACCGACGGACGACGACGAGGGAGGAGG